GACAUAGCGUUGCUAUGGUUAUGUGGUCAUGUAUUGUGAUGCUUCGGUUCUGAAUUUCAGUGCGUUGUGAGGCUUCUCAGCAUACACUUGGGACAGUGCAGAAUUGUCUAUUUCGGUUUGAUCGAGAUUUCCCAAUGGGAGGCAGAUGCUCCUGUGAAGUUCUUCCAGUUGACUUCCAGAUAAAGGCCUCAAAAGGUGAGGAGGCAAAGUCAUCUAAGGUGGCGUCAAGGAAGAAAAGUACUUCUCUGGCGAGAGGACUAAAUUUUAAGAAAAAAUGGCUGCGACACAGUGCUGUAGUUUCAGUAGAACAUCCAAAUGAAGAAGUCUCCAGCACUCUUUUGGAGAACAAAUGAAGACCUCACAAGAAGAGGAGGCAACGUCAUCACUCACUAAGGUCCAGUUGGGAAAAUGAAGAUCCUAUAUGUAUUCUAUAAUGACUCUUAGAAUAUAUUUUAUAUAAGAA